UGGCAUUGUGAACAUGUUUGAAGCCAUGG
rnacentral:piRNA from 1 species